GACGAACGCUGGCGGCGUGCUUAACACAUGCAAGUCGAACGGAAAGGCCCUGCUUUUGUGGGGUGCUCGAGUGGCGAACGGGUGAGUAACACGUGAGUAACCUGCCCUUGACUUUGGGAUAACUUCAGGAAACUGGGGCUAAUAACGGCUAGGUGCUCCUGCUGCAUGGUGGGGGUUGGAAAGUUUCGGCGGUUGGGGAUGGACUCGCGGCUUAUCAGCUUGUGGGUGGGGUAGUGGCUUACCAAGGCUUUGACGGGUAGCCGGCCUGAGAGGGUGACCGGCCACAUUGGGACUGAGAUACGGCCCGUACUCCUACGGGAGGCAGCAGUGGGGAAUAUUGCACAAUGGGCGGAAGCCUGAUGCAACAACGCCGCGUGCGGGAUGACUGCCUUCGGGUUGUAAACCGCUUUCGCCUGUGACGAAGCGUGAGUGACGGUAAUGGGUAAAGAAGCACCGGCUAACUACGUG
rnacentral:rRNA from 1 species